GGCCGGGGCGGUGCGCGAGGCCGGCGCCGACGUGAUCGCCGUCGCGACGGCCGAAGACGAUGUCGCGCAGUUCGGUUCGAUCCUGGAUCGGCAU
rnacentral:tRNA from 1 species